CUGCUUUUCCAGCCCUGUACUCUUCUCCCCCUGGGAACCCAGUGGGCAGUGGCUGCAGACAGCAGCCUCCUCGGUAGUGUAUGCAGCCUCUUGUCUGUACAGGUUGCCCUAAGGGACCUUGGAGACAGCC
ensembl:snoRNA SNORA70 Small nucleolar RNA SNORA70